rnacentral:tRNA from 1 species
GGGGAUUUAGCACAGUGGUAGAGCGCUUGCCUAGGAAGCGCAAGGCCCUGGGUUCGAUCCCCAGCUCCA